GCAAGCAUGGUGUAGUGGUUUGACCAUUUGACUUUGAUUCUAGAGAGCAGGGUUCAAAUUCCUGCUCUGUCA